GACGAACGCUGGCGGCGUGCUUAACACAUGCAAGUCGAACGGAAAGGCCCUGCUUUUGUGGGGUGCUCGAGUGGCGAACGGGUGAGUAACACGUGAGUAACCUGCCCUUGACUUUGGGAUAACUUCAGGAAACUGGGGCUAAUACCGGAUAGGAGCUCCUGCUGCAUGGUGGGGGUUGGAAAGUUUCGGCGGUUGGGGAUGGACUCGCGGCUUAUCAGCUUGUUGGUGGGGUAGUGGCUUACCAAGGCUUUGACGGGUAGCCGGCCUGAGAGGGUGACCGGCCACAUUGGGCCUGAGAUACGGCACAGACUCCUACGGGAGGCAGUAGUGGGGAAUAUUGCACAAUGGGCGGAAGCCUGAUGCAGCAACGCCGCGUGCGGGAUGACGGCCUUCGGGUUGUAAACCGCUUUCGCCUGUGACGAAGCGUGAGUGACGGUAAUGGGUAAAGAAGCACCGGCUAACUACGUG
rnacentral:rRNA from 1 species